AUUGAACGCUGGCGGCGUGCCUAACACAUGCAAGUCGAGCGGUAACAGGUGUAGCAAUACAUGCUGACGAGCGGCGAACGGGUGAGUAAUGCUUCGGAAUCUACCCAAUGGUGGGGAAUAACCAGCCGAAAGGUUGGCUAAUACCGCAUACGUCCCACGGGAGAAAGCAGGGGAUCGCAAGACCUUGCGCCAAUGGAUGAGCCGAAGUCGGAUUAGCUAGUUGGAGGGUAACGGCCUACCAAGGCGACGAUCCGUAGCUGGUCUGAGAGGACGACCAGCCACACUGGGACUGAGACAC
rnacentral:rRNA from 1 species